rnacentral:rRNA from 1 species
CAAUAGCGUAUAUUAAAGUUGUUGCAGUUAAAAAGCUCGUAGUUGAAUUUCUGUCAGGAGUGACCGGGCCUUUGGAUGAACUUCCAUUGUUUUUUGCUCUGUUUGUCAUCUCUAGACAUCCCGAAAUAUUUUUUAAAAAUAUUUCUCUUUUACUGUUAGCAGAAUAGAGUGUUCCAAGCAAAGCGUAGUUUUGAAUACAUUAGAAUGGAAUAAUAAGAUAGGACUUUGGUGCUAUUUUGUUGGUUUGCACACCAAGGUAAUGAUUAAUAGGGACAGUUGGGGGUAUUCGUAUUUAAUUGUCAGAGGUGAAAUUCUUGGAUUUAUGAAAGACGAACUACUGCGAAAGCAUUUACCAAGGAUGUUUUCAUUAA